AUAGCCUGCCGUCCUGGUGAACACAAUCGAGCAAGGCAGUGAAGCAAAAAUCAUUAGGCGGCUGGGCGCAGACACAUCACGCUGCAGUUUGGGUUCCAAGGUGCUUGUCCCCGAUUUUCACCUGCCUUGCCAAAAAUGAUUGAUUACGCCGGGCCGACCGGGUGUCCGGCAAUACCCAACAAAUGACUUUGGCCCCUAACAGCAGGCCUUGGCCAGAUAGAAAUCAAUAUUUCACCAUUAAAAUCUAUCAAAGAAGAGUUAAGGCACCAUCUGUCCCCGCCGUCUCUCUAUGGUGUGUGAACAUUAAAUCCGACACUUGUGCUCCAUGGGUAAUCAAUAUAUAGUGGCUCACAGAUCAUUUGUGGUUCCCUUUUAGCAGUGAUGGAUGUCUGGAAUCGUUGUGAUUCAUUUUGUCAGACCAUUAAACAAGAUUCUGUCCAGUUCCUUCCUGAUUUCA